rnacentral:rRNA from 1 species
AGUGAACGCUGGCGGUAGGCCUAACACAUGCAAGUCGAACGGCAGCACAGUAAGAGCUUGCUCUUACGGGUGGCGAGUGGCGGACGGGUGAGGAAUACAUCGGAAUCUACUUUUUCGUGGGGGAUAACGUAGGGAAACUUACGCUAAUACCGCAUACGACCUACGGGUGAAAGCAUGGGAUCUUCGGACCUUGCGCGAUUGAAUGAGCCGAUGUCGGUUUAGCUAGUUGGCGGGGUAAAGGCCCACCAAGGCGACGAUCCGUAGCUGGUCUGAGAGGAUGAUCAGCCACACUGGAACUGAGACACGGUCCAGACUCCUACGGGAGGCAGCAGAGGGGAAUAUUGGACAAUGGGGGCAAGCCUGAUCCAGCCAUACCGCGUGGGGGAAGAAGGCCUUCGGGUUGUAAAGCCCUUUUGUUGGGAAAGAAAAGCAGCAGGUUAAUACCCCGCUGUUCUGACGGUACCCAAAGAAUAAGCACCGGCUAACUUCGUG